ensembl:miRNA MIR370 microRNA mir-370
AAGACAGAGAAGCCAGGUCACGUCUCUGCAGUUACACAGCUCACGAGUGCCUGCUGGGGUGGAACCUGGUCUGUCUGUCU